rnacentral:lncRNA from 1 species
UUAUAUGUUUCAUGUGGUCAAAUAUUGGUUGUCUACUUCUAGACAUUCUGUUCUGUUCAAACUUCAAACCGUACUAAGCUUUUGAGAAAUAUGUUAUUAAAUUUUCUUUUAUUUGUGCUCACAUCACUAAAGUUGAUAUAUGAUUGUAGCAGUUAGUUCUCAAAAGCUUGUUAAGCCUUUCCAGCAGUUAAGAGCCUACUUUUUUUUUUUUUUCUGAACAAGUUAAGAGUGUACUUCUGGUUCAUGGGUACUUGAUCUCAAUGCAUAUUUGAUUUGGAAAAUAUGAGAAUACAAGUUUUCUACCAAAUUAUAUGUUAGGAUCCGUAAUCUCAAAUACAGUAUCGAAUAUAUAGCUAUAUAAACUAUUGUCUCUUGAGAAGUGAGAAUUUGAGUUUUCAUGUUCUUGGUGAAAAUAGGAUUUUGACAGAUUUGUGUUAAGAAAAACUAUUUUCUUCAAAGAAGAAAAAAUGUUCACUAGAAAAAUUUACAGAAAAAUAGAAAUGUUAUUAUAUAAUAUUCAUGUUAUCCUUCACAGAGCUAUAUAUGUAUUAUUUGGUGUUCAGUUACUAUGGUGGAAAGAUUAUAAAAUCCAGUUUUAUUGUUAGUCAUCUUAUUUGUGAAUUUUUUAUUGGUUUGGAUAAUACGGUUUAUUUAAAUUUUAAUAUUUUAACUAGCAGAUUCAGAUAUUACUUGACUUGGAUAAUAAUAUCCACAUUUAAAGCUGGAUUUCAAAACGAAUAUAUUAAAUAAAAUUCAUUUAAAAGCUAUAACAAAUUUGAUUUAAACUCAUUUAAUUAAAUUUAGUAAAAUCGUUUUUACAGUUAAGUAAACCCUUACAACAUAUUUUACAUGAUUUAAUGUGUCAAAUAGACAUUAAUGUUAAUGUCAAAUACAUAUUAAAAUAUAUUGUAUCAACAUUUCAUAUAAUUAAUAUAUGCAACAAGUUGAAUCCCACGUGUUGGCUUAAUGGUCAGAGUGUUUACGUGAUCUAGGAUCGAGUCGCACUAAUCGUGUUGUUGUUAGGGAUUUGCCCUCAUUUUAAUUUCACCAAAAGAAAAUGUAUUUUGCAUUUAAAAAAAAAAAACCACGAAUGGUGAAUAGAGGUUAGUUCCAUUUUUCUUUGUCUAUCUAUUAUUAUGAGUUUCUCUAUUUUUGCAUGAAACUGUCAAGGAUGUGCAGGUCGUAAAUUCCCGUGUAUUUUUCGUGAAUAUAAUAAGGAGUUUAAGCUGAACAUUAUUGGACUUUAAGAAAUGAGAGUUAGUUGGUGUAAAGCAGAUUUAAUCAUGCAAAAACUUGGUUUUGAGUUUUCACAUCAGGCUAAAUCUAUUGAUUUUUCGGGAGGAAUUUGGAUUGAUUAGAAGGAUUCUGUUUGUGUAGAGGUUAUUAAAAGUCAACCCCAGUUUAUUUUAACGAGGGUAUCAGAUAAUUCUCCUAGACAUCCAGCUUUAAUUGCCUUUGUUUAUGGUAGUCCUGAUAAACAAAACCGAAGAUUUCUUUGGAAAGUGUUGAGUUUGACCAUACAAAGUGAAAGGAUCCCUUGGUUAGCAAUUGGAGAUUUAAUGCUAUUCUCUCAACUGAUGAAAAAAAGGGUGGGCGGGGCAUUGGAAGGAGAUGUUCAUUAUUUGGUGAUUUUAUGGAUUUAUCUAAUCUUCAUUACUUAGGUUUGAUGGGUCCAGAGUUCACUUGGGCAAGAGGAGGAAUUGUAGAAAUGUUGGAUAAGGCAAUGUGUAAUAAAGCUUGGUUUUCUGCUUUUCCUAACAGCUUGGUAACCCACCUUCUGAGACUCAAGUCUGAUCACAGGCCUCUACUUCUUUCUCCUAAACUAAAGUUUUGAAUUGAAUAUAGUACACUUUGAUCAUCUUUUGCAAUUAAAAAUGGAGGUGCGUGAAGAGUUGGAAAGCGUCUUGUAUCAUGAAGAGCUUUUUUGGGAACAGAAGGCGAGGUGUGAUUGGUUGAACUUGGGAGAUUGUAAUACCAAGUUUUUUUAUAGGCGCAUUUUGCAAAAAAGGAAGGUUAAUAAGAUCAAUGCUUUGGAAAAUGAUAAAGGGGAUUGGAUGUAUGAGGAAGAGGAGCUCAAACAUGAGGCUGUUACUUUUUCUCAAAAACUUUAUGGUGAGCAACCAAGUCCGAUGAGAGGCCUUCCCCCAAGUGCUUUCCCUAAGCUUGAUGAAUUUGAUAUCUAGUUUUUGAGACAACUGAUUAUGGAUGAGGAAAUUAAGAGGGCAAUGUUCGAUAUGGCCCCCUGAAAGCGCCAAAUAGUGAUGGUUUUCAUGCCUCUGUUUUCCAAGAUCAACGGGAUCAAAUAGGGGGCUUUGUGUGUGAAUGGGUUAAGGGGAUAUUUGUUGGGAAUCCUAUUGAAUUGAAUUUAAAUAACACCUUAAUUGUUGUUAUUCCCAAGGUUAAAAGUCCUAAAAUUUUUCUCAAUUCUGAUCAAUCAGUUUGUGUUCAGUUCUUUAUAAUCUGGUUAUGAAAAUCAUCGUCAAUUGAUUCAAAGUGGUCUUCCCGAAAAUAAUAGCUUAGGAAUAGGUAGGCUUCAUAACUAGUAGAAACCUCACUGAUAACAUCAUCAUUACGCAGUAGGUUGUUCAUUCUAUGAAGAGUCGACAAAAGAAUAAAAGAUUGCUGGCCGUUAAAAUAGAUUUGGAAAAGGCAUAUGAUCGGGUUCGAUGAGUCACCAAAGAGCAUGAUUUUCUCAUUAAUGUAAUUGUGUCUACUAUUACGAACUCUACUUUGUAGAUUUUAUGGAAUGUCGUUCCUAUACAAACUUAAACUGACUAGAGGUGUUCAUCAAGACUGUCCUUUAUCUCCGUGCUUAUUUGUCUUAUGUAUGGAGUGGCUUGGUCACAACAUUCAUGCUCACAUUGAUUGCAAUCUUUGGGAUCCGAUUAAUUGACCCAUUUGGGUCCACCUCUUUUUCACUUAUUUUUUACAGAUGAUCUCAUGCUCUUUGGUCAGGCCAACGUUCAACAAACCCAAAUUCUGAAAGGCAUAUUGGAUAGGUUUUGUAAGUUUUCUGGACAUCGGAUAAAUUCGCAAAAGACCAACAUCUUUUUCUCAAAAGAGGUUGAUGAGAAUCUAACGUGGAGGAUUAGUAAUUUCUUGGGCUUUCAUAGAGUGAAUAAUCUAGGAUCUUACUUGGGCAUGCCACUUUUUCAUGAGCGAGUUACCAAUAGCACCUUAAGGUUUGUGGUAGACAAAAUUCAAAGUAAGUUGAAUAGUUGGGAUGCACGUAAGUUUUCACUAGUGGGAAGAGUCACACUUGCUCAAUUGGUUCUUUUAACAAUCCUAAGUUUUUUUUAUGUAGCCUAUGAUGAUUCUUAAGGGUAUUUGUGAUGAAAUUGAAUGUUUGAUAAGGCAGUUUAUCUGGGGAUCUUCAACUAGUGGCAAAAAAUGACAUUAGUUUGCUGGGAGGUUAUUUGUCAACCACGACCCAAUGGUGGUUUGGGAUUAAGGCGGAUACGAGAUCAUAAUAUGACCUUCAUGAUGAAAAUCGGGUUUAAGAUUGUUUCAGACCCAAAAGCCCUUUAGGUUCGUGUUCUUAAAACAAAAUAUAGGAUCCAAAAUGGUUUACCGGAAACCUUGAUUCAAAGUAGUGGUUCUUUUCUUUGGAAAAAUCUAUCAAAUUUAUGACCAUUCAUUUGAGAAAAUUUAAUUUGGUCGGUGGGAGAUGGUAGAAGUAUUAAUUGUUGCAAAGAUUCUUAGAUUCCUACUGUUGGCCUUCUUUGUAAUCGUAUGCCUUCUUAUUUUAACUUGAUGAUGGAUUGCCCACUUAGAGAAAUGGUUACUGAGGAAGGUUAUUGGAAUUUUGAUUUUUUUCGACUCUAACUCCUAGACGAGAUCAUUUGGAGGAUUUUGGGAAUCCUCCCGCCGCAUCCAGUAGUCGGUUCAGACAGUCAUAUGGAGUGGCUCAACAUCAGGUUCCUUUAUGCUCAAAAGUGCCUAUGGAAGAAUCCGAGGUAGGUCAUGGAACCCAAAAGAGAUAGUUUGGCAGCUUUCGUGGAAAUUUUCGAGGCCUCAGAGGGUUAAAUUCUUCUUUUGGCUUGCCCUUCAACAUCUAGUAGUCGGUUCGAACAGUCAUACGGAGUGGCUCAACAACAGGGUCCUUUAUGCUCAAAAGUGCCUAUGGAAGAAUCCGAGGUAGGUUAUGGAACCCAAAAGAGAUAGUUUGGCAGCUUCCGUGGUAAUUUUUGAGGCCUUAGAGGGUUAAAUUCUUCUUUUGGCUUGCCCUUCAACAGCGUAUGCGUACUAACGUGAAGAAUGAGGAGAUGUAUUAGUCUGGAUAGUUUGUGGAUUCUGCCAUUAUGAGUUGGAGAUGUGACUCACGUUUUAAAAGAUUGCCCUGCAACUAGAGACAUUUGGGAGCUCGUUGUCCCUGCUGAUAAGUUGUCCCUAUUCUUCUCAGGAGAUCUUCUAGAGUGGCUAGUGACAAACCUACAAAACCAUCAUCAGAUUCACUUGGGAGAUGUUGAUUGACAAUGUUUCUUUGGUCUCAUUGUGUGGCGGAUCUGGAAAAAUCGCAAUCUCCUUUUAUUUCAGGGUAUCCCAUGAUUACAUCAAGUAGACAGCCCCAUAAUUUGCAGGGUGUAAGUGGGGUAUUACUUGAUGCAAAUGUAGCAACAAGUUCAGUUGGUCAAGGUAGUUAUUCAGCUGGCCAAGGAAGCCCACCUGCCAACCGUUGAGUCACCUUCAACAAUACAAGGGCAUACUAGGAAUUCACCAUUAGUAAACGUUGCUGCUGUUGGAGCUGACGCAUCUUGGUGCCCAGAUUCCGGUGCUACACAUCACUUGAUCAACAAUGCCUCGGCUGUUUCAGUUUUUCCUCUUCAUACACGGGAUUAGGUAAAAUUCUUGAUGGUCAUGGUUGUGGUUUAUCCAUUUCUCGUGUUUGUAUACAUUGCUCACUGGCUCUUAAGGUUUUGAUGUUUAGCAAUGUAAUUGGAAAUAUGAGAUUAUAAAGGUGAUCAAAAUGUUAAAACCCAAACACAUAAUUUUAUUCAGGGAUGUGAGAUUACGGAAUGUUAUGUUAUAUUUGAUGAACCCUAAAAUGAAAACCAAAUGGCAGAGGAGACUUUAUAUACAUAGCUGAUUGAAUGCAAAGACUUGAUAUCCACCAGAGCGCUGGUGAACUAUCAUUAUUUUAAUAUAUAUAGACCCACGCAUCUUUUACGUUUUGCAUAUUACUACUUCCCAUUAAUUUAUUUCAGAUGGAAGAUACGAGAGAAGAAUCAUCUUCUGUAAUUCUAAGAUUCACAGACUCUUUUAACAAAUCAAAUGAAGUGAAAGAAUGUGGUCGCAGUAGCGCACUCAUCUCUUGCGCAUCUUCCAGCAGUGUUUGAUUAGGAGCGACCUGCAUGUAUCAACCAUGAAAAUUUAGUCUUAAUGUUUUUAUGAUCUAAAUUUUAAGUAUCAACAAAGGUGAGAAUGAGGACCAGAACAUAUGCAAACCAAGCAGUAGGGUUGCAUUAACAUGAACAUAUGCAAAGACUUCAAGGACUUUUUUGCAAAAACAGAAGAUGAAAAGUAAUAAAAAUGGCUGUUUAACCUUCUUUGGCUCCUUGAAGGAAUUCUCAUCCAUCAGAUUAGCAGACGUGAGAGUGGUCUUUGUUGAUCCAGACAGCUUUACAGAAUUUGGAUCCAAUCCAUCAACAGAAAUUUGGAGGUUGACUGAAUUGCUCCCAAAGUUUACAACCUGGAUUCAUCAUAUAUAUAUUUGAAUGUAAGAGGAAUAUAUGCCAAAAGAUAAAAGGCAAUCAAUAACUUUUCAAUUAAUAAGAUGAUGGUAGAAUUAAGCAAGUGGCAGAGACUUUUUAGAUUUAAGGAUUUUAAUUUAUGUUAGGUUUGAUCCAAGAAUGCCUAACUUGCAUUCUUUUUUAACUUGAGAAGUAGCUUUUUGUGUUCUCUAAGGAUAUUUUGAUGUAGCCAAGUUCAAAAUUUAAGCUACCAACUUUACUUCCAUCUUUUGAUAAUGAGAAAUCAUCUGUUAAAUCUUUAUUAUCAAUUCCAUCUGAGAGCCAAAUAGCCAUAAGAAACAUAAGGUCAAUAUAUAUGCAAACACAUGUAUGUGAAAAUACAUGCAAACAAUGCAGUCAUUUAAUGCAUGCCUAUUUACCAAGAGGCCAUAUAUAUAUAUAACCAACAAAGUUCUUCUAGGUCCUGCACAUUCAGGGAAAUCAAGCAAUAAUCCUUUUUUAAAUAUGUUUAAAUGUAUCUAUAUCGAUACCUAUGCUGUGGGUUGAUUGAUAAGCAUCACAGGCCCUAGAUAACUAAUGAGAUCUUGAAGCACAUGGACUUCUUGUUAGGCAAAAGGAAAAAUGAACAAAAAGUAGCCAUGGGAAAACAGUUGGAGAAAAAAGUCAAGAUCUCCAUGUUACAGACCUUUAUCCUUACGUAGGUUUGACCAUCCUCUGAAUUUUUCCAAGUAAUUGCAGAUGCAACAAGGGAAUUAGAUGAAUCUUUUUGCAGUGUUGCAUUAAGAAGAGUUGCUCCACUUGAUUCUGUGAAAAAACGUUGCACCCAGUAGCUAGGAGUUCCAUACACCUGAAAGGAGUUGAAGACGAUUGCAUCUGGGUUCCACCUUAAUAACAAUUUUUUAUCAAAAUCAGAUUUACAACAUAUUUAAGAGAGAGAUUACAUUUUAAAAAAAUAGUGAGAAAAAUACCGUCUGUCAUUGGAAUUCACAAAAAGUGGUGCAUAGCUAGCCAUAUGCACAACAUCGCUGCAGUAUAACAAACAUAGAUUCAGUAGCUUACACUGAGGAGGAUUAUAUAAUGAUAUUUAAGCAUAGUUUAGGUAUAUAAACAAUUGUGAGUCAGAAUCACUUCUAAUAGUUAUACAAAAACCAUCAAAAUCACAGCACAGCAAUUUUUUGCCAAUUUCCCAUUUCAAUGAACAAAUUUAAAGAGUCCUCGGUGAAGAGUCAAAUGUUUUAAAACUUCCCAAGAUCAGUAAAACAAACACUUAAAAACAAUUAAUAAUGAGCCAGCCAAUAGGGCUUUUCAUGAAGAUACUAGGGUAAGCCUAUUAUAAAGAAUUAAAUGAAAGAGACCAAAUAGAAUAUGUUGAAGAGAAAGAUUAACAAAAAAAAAAAAAAAGAAACAAAACCUGUUCUUUUCCAGACCAAUAAGGAAUGCAGCCUCAGCAAGUGCUGCUAAAAGACUUCCAGUGCCAGCAUCUUUCCCAGUCACAGCAUAUUCACUAACAAAGGCCUGGAAUGUGUUGAAGAAAAAAAAAAUAAGAAAACAAACAAAUCCAAAUAUCACUCAUAACCACCUUCACAUACCUUUGGACCCUGUCGUGUUGUACGAUCAAAUUUAUGGGACAUAGAAAACAAGUUGUUGGCAGAUGUAUAAACCUAUUAAGAUAUCAAGGAAAAAAAUUCAUCCUGCCAUCCAUAUUCUUAACAGAAAAUGAAAAUGAGAAAACAAAAGAAACAAGGAGAUAAACUAAAAAGUCAUUCUAGUGUCAUUAUGCUAGCUUUCAAGAACUUUACAUGAAAAUCAUAAAGAUCAGUUGGGUGGUCAAGCGGGAGAGAAGAUCCAUCACAGUUUGUAAUGAUUUUGAUAUCUGGGUAGGUCCGCUUUAUAGCAUCAUAGAACUUGAGGUAAUUUCCUGUUCAAUCCAAAAUAGGAAAAGAAAAUUAAGCAAAAAAAAGUGUCUCCAUACUCUGAUAUUUCUAAAUGAAAUAACAAUUCACUAAUAAUACUCCGGUAACUAAUCAAAUAAAAACAGUGGUAGAGUGAUAUGACCAGCAAUACUUGAGCGAAGGAUAAAACUUUUCCAUGUCUCCCAGAAAAGCUCUUUUUCCAAAAUUUUGCAACCAAAAAACUCGAGGACUCUUUUUCCAAAAUUUCGCAACAAAAAAACUCAAGGGCUGGACUCUACAUCCACCUUCUUAUGGACAAUACAAAGAGAAUUUGCCUUCAAUAACUAAAUAACUUUUGACAAAAGGGAUAUUAAUGAAAUGCAUUAAAAUGUUACAGAAGCUAUAAAAGAUUCCCAUUUAUAACUGCCAUGCCACUACCAAAUUCACAUGCAUAUGCAUGUGCAAGCAUGAUUUUGCUGACCUCGAUAAUUCUUCUUCCCACAAUCCUCAUUCCCAAUAGCAACAUAUUUCAAAUCGAAAGGUUCAGGGUGUCCCAUUGCAGCUCGAACAGCACCCCAUGUAGAACUAGCAUCACCUCUAGCAAACUCAAUGCCAUCAAGGGCCUCCUGCAAUCAGCACAUUAUAAAGAAUAUCAUAAAAAACAAAACAUAAAGAAUGACUCAGUAAAAAACCAAAGUAUUCACAUAUAAUAAGAUCAAAAUUUAUUUUUUUCUUAUAAUCUAAUUAAAGCUCUCAUUGGAAAGUUCUCAAAAUACAUAAUUAAUUUUUUUUUAAAUGUAUAUGAAGCAUAUAAAAUUUAGUUUCUAGGAAAAGAAGAGAAAAAAAAGAAAAAGAAAUUUUUUGAGCUAUUUGUAAACUCUAAAAUCCCAACCCAGCUACCUCUUCCCACCAAUUAGAUUUAGAUACCUUAAAUUUCCAGCAAAUCAAGUACAGAUCCUCACCCUUUUCCAGUUAAGCUUAAGCUAAGGUAUCUCUAGAUAUCAAGUUUUAGAAACAAAAUAGAUUCAGGUUAUCUUAAACAAACACUAAACCCAUGUGGGAUUAAACCAACUUCAGUCAUAUCAUCAGACAACAGUUAUUAACCAAUAUCAUUGGCAAAAGGAAGAAUUGCAUAGACAUACUUGCACAAAAGGCAGAACACUGGAUGUAUCAACUUGAUCAUUAUGACUAAUUCCUGUAAAUUUUGAUAAAGCCCAAGGCAAAAGGUAAAGUGACCGGAAGCAUUAGCCACUAGUAUAUUAGUUAUAACUCUAAAAAAAUAAAAAUUAAAUCAUGAACAGAAUGGUGUACAUGCACAGUACCAUUGUUGAACACCCAUAUUGGCAAUGCACCAAGAUCCUCUGCUAACUGCAAGAAGAUAGUACUAAUUUAGAAUGCCAAGAGUUAAACAGCAUAAAUUGAAGUACUCCAUGUUCAGGAGAAAUCUAUAAAACCCUACAAAUGAAUAAGAUACCCACUUGAAGAAACUCAAAGUAACCAAGUCCAUCAUCAGUCCAGUACAUCCAAACGUCACCAAAGUGCCCUGGUCUUUCUUCCCAAGGUCCAACACUUGCUUUCCAGCGAAAAGCAUUUCUUAACCAUUCACCUUCCACAAAACAGCCACCUAAUGCAGUACAAUUAAGAAAAUACAUCAUUUUUAUGUUUAUAACUCAUGAUAUAUAUGUAUAUAUGUGUGUAUAUAUGACGCUAGUGCUUAAAAACAAAACCAGGACAGCAAGUGUCAGAUAAAACUUACAAGACAAACAAUCAGCAGAGUAUAAUUCAAUGAUCUACUAACAUACAAAAACAAAUUUUGUAUGGUAACCUGGUACAAGAGACACCGUAUAAUAUGUUAUUGAGAGAGUUCCAUACUGAAAUAGAUCAGAGGUUGUAUCUCAGCAAAGGUUUCUGAGAUUUUAAACAGGCAUUCUGAGAUUCUAAACAGCCAUCUAAUAAAAUUUUACAUCAAGACCAAGUGAAACAUUUAAGCAAACAGUGCAGAAAAAGUAAAAAAAUAGCAAGUACAGAUAAAAGUAACAAGACAGAUAAUGCAUUAGGGAAUUAGGCUAGUGGUUGAACUCAAUCAUUCUAAAAUUUCCAUGAUUCUAAGCAUCCACAACUAUGGUUCGUUAUAUACUGUUGCAUCCGUGAGUUUGGGAUUGAGUUCCAAGCAAUGGACAGAAAAUCACUCAAGUUAGGGAGCCUGAAACCUUUAGGACUCCUUAGAGACAAACCUAGAUAUCCUUUUAGGGUUUUGAUAAAAUUCAACUUGCAUUUGUUUUAUUCAUUGUCCCUUUAAAUAGAGAUUACAAUAAUUAAAGGAAGUAUAUCAAACUAAAUGAAGUCCUACCAAACACAUUCUAUUUUAAGAGUCCUAAAACCACUUCAUCUGAGAGUCCUACGUAACAACUACUAAGCGUCCACAACAAUACUUUCCUCCUGGAAAAAGAGAUUGUCAUCAAGCUCAGAGUUGGAAUAAACUUGGCAAAAGAUACCUUCCUCAAUAGUAAUCGACAUUUGCCCGACGCUCAUACAUCCAUCGAUCAUCAAUGUAGUCAAAGGAAAUUUUAUUAAAUAAAUCGAACACUACCACACCAUUAUUCCUUCUCUUUACUAACAAUCAAAACGAUAGGUGUCACAGACCUCACAAACUGAUAGGUGUUUGCCCUAGAGAGGUACUAGAAUGUGCAUUUGUUACCUCCACCAAAGCGGAAAAACCAAACAAAAUCACCAAAUCAAUAUGAAAAAACUAUUACUUGCUAACUUGGCUCAAAUAAAUAAAGCACUCUAUGUUACAUGUAUUAUCACUUUACCCUGGUAGAGCUGUCUGACAAUUCAUGGACAGUAAACUACUCUAUGGAUAUUGCACUUAAACCAUCAAGCUCAGUGCAUAAAUUGCUAAGAACAUGGUCUGCCAUCUCAAAGACAUACCCUUCUCAACCUAUCCAAAGUCCUUGUAGCUAGAAGGCAUAGAGGGGAAAAAUAAUGAGAUGGAUAUAGAGCUAGCAAGCUAAAUGAACUCGAAAAGAAACACCCAAACCUUACCUUGAGCCAACCUGCUUUAGAAAAGAAAUCAACUUGAACCCACCUAACCCCAGCCUUAUCCAAAUUUACAUUAGCUAUAAUUCCAUUUCCCUUUCAAACAUUAAUUUGGUUACAACUAAUAAAUUUAACAAACUUUUAGCAAGAUUAGUAAACCAAAUCAUAUAAACCAAUGCAUCAAAGAUGAAUAUUAAAAAUCAAUAAAUAAUUAAUGAUUUUUAGGAGAAAUCUGUCAAUAUCCAACGUAGUAUAACUCUAAAUUAGUAAAUGGCUUUCAAGUUACUGCUUUUUGUUCUUUGAUAUGAUCUAAUGAUAUUUUAAAAGAACUUAUCUUCUGAUAUUAAAAAAGGAAAAAAAGUGUUUAAGGACUGCUACCAAUUGAAAACAAAAACGCCGGCUUAAUUAAGGUUGAUAAAUUCUAACUCAACUUCAAUGACUUGCCUAAUCCAACUGAAUUUGCCUUUUAAAAUUCAAUAACUUUGACCAAAAAUGGUUUGAAAAAUUACUCAAACCCAAAAUGGAACUAACCUGAACCCACCCGCCCAAUUGCCACCUCUAGGAGGUAGCGACUAUUAAGGAAGGUCUAACCAAAAGAAAAUUAUCACAGAUGGAGCAGUCUUAGUAUAACAAAAUUAGAUAACCAAGACACUGAAGUUUAGAAAUCAUCACCAGAUUGAAAAAUAAAACAACGCGCCACCCCCCCCCCAAAAAAAAAAAAAAGAAAAAAAAAAAACCUCAGCAUAGUGACUAUAUACAAAACAAUUUGACCUAAGCUGUCAAGGUGCAUAACAUAGCACACACCUGGAAAUCUAAUAAAGCGAGGUUUGAUAUCUGCAAGCAUUUCAGCAAGCUCAUUUCGGAAACCAUGCCCCUGUUGCAAAAUCAUUACAACACAAAAAAUUAGAUUAUAUAAUAUAUGUAUUGCAGUUUGAAAUUGUGAAACAAGUUCAUGCAAUAGCAAACCCGCAAAAAUAUAAACUAAUGUUUUUGCAAAUCACUCGCUGUAAUCAAAGAAAAUAGAGAAGCUAGUAUUCCAUCAAGUUAGAGUAGUUUCCUACUUCUGUUUCUAUUUUUGAAACUAAAAAAUUGUUCGGUAAUGACUAUAUUUUUUCUGAAAAAAAAUCCAAAAGGUGCUUUUGGUGUUGUUAACAUGCAGAUGAACAGUGCCUACAGAUGAGAAGUGCCACUUAUUUACUCAAAUGUAUGACAAGUUGAGAAAUGGCAUCUAAAACUUUGAAGAACUAUUCUGAUCAUAUUAGGCUUUGAUUGGUAUGUACAAGUUGCUUGCUGAUCAAAAUUAUUUUAGACAUGGAUUUUCAUUAAAUGUACAUGCUUCUUCAAUUAUAUUUAUAGAGUUUUGAAGCCAUUAACUACAUAUUUUAAUUUAGAAAUCCUCAUCAUCAUUUUAGAAGACAUAUACAAACAUAUGCCUGACAGGACAGCCAAUUUAAACAUGCAAAGCAAUUGUCAUACUCUAAAUCUCAUAAUAAUCAGUUUCUAUAUAAUCAAGGAAUGUUGGCAGUUUAACCAAUCAAAAACAUAAAUUAGUCACUUUUCAGUAUGUCAUGAUUAAGAAAGAAACACAAACCUUGUAAGUGUCCAAAGGCAUAGCUGAAACUUGAUCAAACCAUACCACACCAUUUUUCGAUGUUGUUAGUUGCAGCCUUGAAUUGUGAUUUGUUUCCUUGGCUUCCAACAGAACCUCCAUCUUUGUCCAGUUUGAAACAUCAGAAGCAGAAGCUCUGCGAGGACAAGAAGAUGAACUCCACGGCAUCUCAAACGAUAAUUCUUGUAUGAAGGAAUCAUUAAGUGGACAAUAUCUUUCAGAGUAUGAGAAUAUUAAUUAGGUUCUUACUUUAUGUUGGUGGAGGAUAGUGUCUGCAAGCCAUCUGAGCUCGUAAAAGAUACAGAAAUGUCAAUUGCUCCUGUUGAGCGAACAUAAAAUACGAUCUUGUAGCUCUUCCCUUGCUCAAUAUUCUGCAUGAGAAACAAGGUAGAAACUAUAUAAAUUGUAGAACAGCAGACAAUGUAAAAGACUAAAAUUUGCAGAUAAGCUGCUUGAGAUUUUGCAAUCUUGUUGUUUAAACAACUAGGGAAAAAUAGAGUAUGGACUAAGAAAGCAUUUGGCAGAGAAAAGUUUCUUCAGCAAGAGGGAUAGAGAGAGAGGGGAAACACACACACUACAUAAUAUAUUUGAUAUAAUGCCAGUUUAUCCUCACCAUGCCCCAGAACCCUGGGUUAUAUAUACCAACUCCUCCAGAUGGACAGAUAUGAGUGCCCUCACUAUUACAGAGCACCUCCAUUUUGAGAGCCACCUUGUUACGUUCAAAACAUGACGACCGGUCAGUUGACACAAUUAUAGAUGACUCGUCCCCAAUUAUGGACCAUGGGUCAAUGUUUGAAGGAAUAUUGGCACCCCCAGCUUCAAACCCUGGAGGAAGAAAAAAACAGGAGAAAGAUAUCAUUAUGAUAAGUCUAAGCAUUAGCAACUGCAGAUGGUUUACUGAUAAUUUAUAUUUUUAGAGUGGGACUACAAGGGCCUAUCCCAGAAGUUUUUUUCUGUGACUCGAUCAUUUGUAGUCAACCAAAUCUGUUGAAGCGAGCUAGCUCAUGGCCAUCAAACUUGAGGGAGAAAAAAACAAACAACUUGAGCAGAAUACCAAAAAAACAAGAACUUGAGCAAGAACGUAAACAAAAAGACAAACGUGCAUAUCAUAUUGAAACUUCAGCCUAAUAGGAAUUACACUAGGCAUCUAGUUAUGAAUUGAGUUCUCCCAAAUGACUGAACAGAUCAGGUACCUUAAAAGCCAAUCAAACCAACAAGUUCAGAGAAGUCACAUCAAUAACAAGAGGGGAGAACUUCAUUGCGUAAGAGAGAUUAAAGAGAACGCAAUAGAAAAAUCAAACAGCCUAAAUGGGGAAAAGAAUAAUUUCUAGACAAAAUCCACCCAAAAGGUAAAUAUCUCUUCCAUGAAAAUGGAGUAUGACCCAUCAAGUGAUUAAAAUUUUUUAUUUGCUCACCAUCUCCUACACACCCUCCAAUGUCUAAUCCCCUCCCAAAGGGCACACAUUUGGACCCUAAAUUUAUUAGUCAGAACAAGUACUUUAGACAAGAAAAAAAAACCAAAUAUAUCCUUGAAAAUUUUGCAAUCUAAAGAUUCUGAACCUCAUACUUCUCUUCAAUAGUAGGGUUUCCACCAAUUAUGUAAUUUAAACACAGAAAGAAAGAAUAUCCUCUUAUAUUAUUUCUCUCUACUUCUUAUGAUUAUAAGGUUCUCAAACAAACCUCUGUUGCUUACAAGCUCUGCCCACAGCCCACCAGCACCAGCAUGGUUGAUCUCCUGUAGGGCAAGGAAUUCAAAAGGAUCAUUUGCUCGGCAAUAAAUGAAAAUGUUACAACAUCGCUAAAUGAGGUAAGUAAUCAAGCACUGCAGAAAUGCAGAAAGCUGUAAACUGAAAGUAAUUCAAAUUGUUAGUUUUCUCAUUAAUGGCAUCUUUUUGGUAAGUAAAACUAUGUAUCAUUAGAUGACAUCUUAGUAUGUCAUGGAUUGAUAUGUUGAAGGCCUUUUCCUUUUAAGAAGAAAACAUUCUAGAGCAAUCAAGUGAUUUAUGUAACCGUCUGUAAUUUUAGUCAAAUAUUAAUUGAACUAACCUCAAAGAAUAUUCCAAACAGUGUUUGAGGUAUUGGACGGCUUGACUGUUCGGAAGCAUCUAUAAACAGCUGAGCUGUCAGGUUUUUGUCAACCUCAUCAGCCAACAAUUGACGGGGAAGGCAGAAACUGAUGAAGAGGCAUAGUAAAAACACACAAGGAGCCUUGCAAUAACCCAUUGCCUACACCACAUCCAGCAUGAGGAAACAGCAUUCAGAGCACUGAUAUAAAAAUACAAUGCGUGACUCAAACACUUGUUUGUAUAGAGGAUUUUGGUGUAAACAGUAAAAGAACAUAAAUCGGUAUAAAGGGAAUAUUAAAUCAUUUGACGAUAAUUGGAAGUUAAACGAAAACAAGUAAAAUAAAAAUAUCAGCUCAGCAAUCAUGAAAAAAGUAGCUAAUUCCUAUUAUUGAUUGACAGCUAUUCGAUUCAAAUCCGAGGUAAAGAUUCACUAAUAUCAGACACUAUACUUGCUUGCAGGUACCACGAUUGACCGUCGAAAAGAGAUAUGGUCAAAGCAAAACAAAAACUGCACUUGAUUCAAUUAAACUCUUAGGUCAAAGCAAUGAACAGGGAAACAAAAACAAAAAGAAGAGCAUAAAAACAGUCUGUUAUUAUGCCACUAUCGAAAACCCAUCAUUGGGCAAACCUUAGAAACUGCACAGACAGAUUGAGAACGAAAAAGAAAAAGAAGUGAAACCCAGAUAAGAUGAAAGUAUUGGGAGUGAUGGGAUGAAGCAAUCAGAAUUUUAUAGUGAAGAAAUCAAAACAAAUGAUCCAAUGCAAUUUCAGAAUCAGUGAUAGAGUAGAGAUAAGAGUGUUGAGGAAGGAAAAGAUCUACCUCCAACGAAGCUGACGCGAGGACAGUAAAGUGUUAGCGGAAAAGACAGGACAAGUGUUUUGCUUCCACGGUUCGGUAUGCGGGUUGCCUUGCUUUCACGACAGCAAAAAAAUGUACUUUACACUUUGUAAGUUCCAGCCUUUGUAAUGUCCGCCUCUUCUAGCAAUCCUACAAUAGUAAAAGAUGACGAUUUUGCGACUUAGAAGCAACUCACUCAAUAAAGGAAAAAGUCCACUUCGAGUUUCCGCUCUAUCUCCCCCUUUGCUUACUUUAACAAUUUCUUGUGGUCCCUCUCCUCGAACUUAUCCAUUUCCAAGACCGGCAAUUAAUUAUUAUUAUCAUGCUUAACACAAUAAUUAGGUUCGGUUAACUAUAUCAUGUUUAAUUCUCUUUAAAGUGUAACUAUACCAAAAACAGUAAAGAGCAAAAAGAAAUCUUAACCCCCUUUCCCAAGUACUUUUCGCUUUAUUUGAUACAUGGAUUUUUAAUUUGUUAUGGCAUUGAUAUAUGUUUUUUCUUUUUGGUGGUGAACAAACUCUCUGGCCAACUAUAAGAUACUCUAUAACGAGAUUCCAUGGUUGUCAUCUUGUUCAAUCGUGAUUGUGUCGUAUUGCUAUUGUGCACGCUCGCUAUAUGAACUUCUGAAAGGAGUGACCUUAUGUCCCUUUCUUUCGUGAGGCAUCCUUGGAAAUAUUGCCUCUCACCUGCACAUUCCUAAGCCUAAUCAAAACCAAUUCGAGAAAGAGAAUUCUACAGUAUAAUUUUGAUGCUCCUUUCACUGUUCUCCAGAAUAUGAACUGGUUCUCCUUAGUAACUUGUGCAAUAGCAACAACACUAUGCAUCCUUGUAUUUCAAUUGGUGGCAAAUUCAUGAUGAACUUGGAUCUCCAUAAUUUCUUCUUAACGGAUAGAUCUUCCCUCACUACCUCUAAAGUGAGUUCAAAAGGCAUUCCAUAUCUUUGCCACCAUUGUAUGAAUCUAGGCAAGAGCCUGUAAUGGUGGUUGUUUACAUCCUCAAAAUAUUUUCAUUCCAAUUUUUCUAAAUGAUUUUGUAACAGCCCUUACUCGACUCGAUCACCGGAUUCAAGUCACCGAAUCCUAGAAUCAUUGUUAGAGUAACUACAUCAAUCAUACAAUUUCCGACCAUUUAAACAUGUAAUUCAAUAUGAAAUGUAUUCACAACAUGACACACAAUCAUUUUUGGGUCUCACACAAACUUAUCAAAGCUUUUUGCUACCGCGAGUAAGAAUUAGGACCAAAAGGUAAAGUUUUUAAAAGUCUCAAGCCGACCUCGCGACUUUAAAGCUUCCUCGCCACGGCGACGUCAUCUCAAUGAGUCACGUUGCGACGACAUGCGCCCCAUGUCGCAAUGUCACUCACUGUCAAAUGACAUUGCGACGUCAAAUACUUCUCUUCGCAACAUUGCCUUUGUUUUUACCAAAAUGCACAUUUGAUAUCUAAUUCAAAUAAUUCCAAAUCAUUUCAUACAUGUUUUCAUCCAAUCUUCACAAAAAUAAAAUCAUUAAAUCAAACCAAUUGACAACCAACUCAAGUAUAAAACCAAAUAAUCAUUUUAGUGUUCUUUCUGCAUAUCCUGGUUGUUCAGUUAAGUCUACUAUGGGCCAAAAGAAAAGUGUUAAGUGAAAAUUAAUAUUGAUUAAGAGUAAGUGAAAUAUAGUAAAAUUGUAAGUGAAAAUGAGCAUUUAAUGAUCUUUUAAUUAAAUUCAUUGGGUUAUAUUUAAAGUAUUGACAUGUUAAAUUUAAUUAAGGUAAUAGUAAGUUUAAUUCUUAAUGUACUUACUAAACUUUUAUAAGCUUAACACGUUAUUUUUCAAUACAUAAGUGAUAGAGACUCGAAUUAAAGCUUUAGAGUGAAGAUAUAAUUUCAAUUCAUCACAUCUCAAAUAUUGGAAAAGGGUAUGAUUUUGAUCUUUUAACAAUAGAUCAUGACAUGUACAUAAGUUAAAAUAAAGCAUCUGCACAAGAUUCCUAGUGAAAAUUGUAAUAGCCCAUUUUGCCCAGGCCAAAGCACAAAUAAAUAAAAUCCAAAAUAACAAAAAUAUUCAUAAAGUCCAAAUUACAAACAGGCCCAAUAUGACCCAAAUUAGAAAAACCUUGCAGCCCAAAAUGGCCCAAAGCUUAAGCUGUUUCAGAAAAAAAAAAAACCCUAGGGCACCAUGUGCGCCGCACUGCUUCUUCGUGCCCUUGCAGCGCACUCGUCGCCCGAAGCAUGAUAGAUAUCAGCGGCCUUGCACCAAAAUGGCCAGGGUUAUCCCUCCAACGCUCGUUGACCUUGCCAAAACCUGCAAACAGGGCAAAAAGGAGACAAACACGGAAGCAAAGCAAAAGCAAACAAAAACAGCGUGUAAAUCGGCUAUAAAUGGCCUGAGAAAAUAUUGUAAAAAGGGGAGGGGGAUUUUUGUAUGAAAAAAAAGAUUGAAAAAAUAAAAUACAAAAACAGAGGUGAUUCUAAAAGCUUUUUUCAAUUUUUUCCUUUCUGUUCUUAUAUAUUUUUUCUUGAUCUAUUCUUUUCUUCUGAUAUACAUUCGAAAAUAAAAUAAAAAAACAAAUAAGGUAGAAGCGAUUUUCGAUUUCUUUUGGGGUGUUCUUCGAUUAUGUUUUAUGCAUAAGAUAAAAUAAAGAGAGGGAGGGGAGCGUACCUUGUCGUCGGAGCCGUCGAACUCCAUCGUAAUCAAAGCCUUGGUGAGCCCGAAAGCAUAAGAGCGGGGUAGAGGAGAACUUUAGGGCUAUUAUGUUUUUUUAAAAGGGGGAGUGUCUGCUGAGGCUUAGGGAUUUGUUAGAAUCAUUGUUUCUUAUUGAAACAGUGCCGUUUAGACUCUGUUUCAAUGGUCUAAGACGGCGCCAUUUAAGUUAUUCAAUAUCAGCAACCCGCAUGACCCGACCAGCACGCGUAGGAUCCGCGUAUUUCUAGUGGAGGGGAUAUUUACCCUUAUGGUCCUUCUGAUUCUCAAAUAUUUUUC